rnacentral:rRNA from 1 species
CCUACGGGAGGCAGCAGUGGGGAAUAUUGGGCAAUGGGCGCAAGCCUGACCCAGCAACGCCGCGUGAAGGAAGAAGGCUUUCUGGUUGUAAACUUCUUUUCUCAGGGACGAAGCAAGUGACGGUUCCUGAGGAAUACGCGACGGCUAACUACGUGCAAGCAGCCGCGGUAAUACGUAGGUGGCAAACGUUAUCCGGAUUUACUGGGUGUAAAGGGCGUGUAGGCGGGGAAGCAAGUCAGAUGUGAAAACCAUGGGCUCAACCUGUGGCCUGCAUUUGAAACUGUUGUACUUGAGUACUGGAGAGGCAGACGGAAUAACUAGUGUAGCGGUGAAAUGCUUAGAUAUAAGGAGGAACACCAGUGGCGAAGGCGGUCUGCUGGACAGCAACUGACGCUGAGGCGCGAAAGCGUGGGGAGCAAACAGGAUUAGAUACCCUUGUAGUC